rnacentral:rRNA from 1 species
CUACGGGUCGCUGCAGUGAGGAAUUUUGGUCAAUGGGGGAAACCCUGAACCAGCGACGCCGCGUGUGGGAUGACGGGGCUUUGCCCUGUAAACCACUGUCAGAUGGGAAGAAAAGUUCCUUAUGGGAACCGGGACUGUACCAUCAGAGGAAGGGUCGGCUAACUACGUGCCAGCAGCCGCGGUAAUACGUAGGACCCGAGCGUUGUCCGGAUUUACUGGGUGUAAAGGGUGCGCAGGCGGGCUUGUUCGUCAGAGGUUAAAUACACCGGCUCAACCGGUGAACUGCCUUUGAUACGGCAAGUCUUGAGUAUGAGAGAGGAUGAUAGAAUUCCUGGUGUAGCGGUGAAAUGCGUAGAUAUCAGGAGGAAUACCAGUGGCGAAGGCGGUCAUCUGGCUCAUUACUGACGCUCAGGCACGAAAGCGUGGGGAGCAAACAGGAUUAGAUACCCGAGUAGUC